rnacentral:rRNA from 1 species
AANCUCGGAAGCUAAGAUAGGUNGGGCNUGGNUAGUACUUGGAUGGGAGACCGCCUGGGAAUACCUGGUGCUGUAAGCUU